UUAAAUUGAGAGUUUGAUCCUGGCUCAGGAUGAACGCUGGCGGCGUGCCUAAUACAUGCAAGUCGUACGCUAGCCGCUGAAUUGAUCCUUCGGGUGAAGUGAGGCAAUGACUAGAGUGGCGAACUGGUGAGUAACACGUAAGAAACCUGCCCUUUAGUGGGGGAUAACAUUUGGAAACAGAUGCUAAUACCGCGUAACAACAAAUCACACAUGUGAUCUGUUUGAAAGGUCCUUUUGGAUCGCUAGAGGAUGGUCUUGCGGCGUAUUAGCUUGUUGGUAGGGUAGAAGCCUACCAAGGCAAUGAUGCGUAGCCGAGUUGAGAGACUGGCCGGCCACAUUGGGACUGAGACACUGCCCAAACUCCUACGGGAGGCUGCAGUAGGGAAUUUUCCGCAAUGCACGAAAGUGUGAC
rnacentral:rRNA from 1 species